rnacentral:rRNA from 1 species
AAACUGCCAAGCUAGAGUGCAGGAGAGGUAAGUGGAUUCCUAGUGUAGCGGUGAAAUGCGUAGAUAUUAGGAGGAACACCAGUGGCGUAGGCGGCUUGUUAAGUCAGUGGUUAAAUCGUGUGGCUCAACCAUACUUCGCCAUUGAUACUGACAGGCUAGAAUAUGUCCGAGGAUGCUGGAAUGAGUGGUGUAGCGGUGAAAUGCAUAGAUAUCACUCAGAACACCGAUUGCGAAGGCAGGCAUCUGGGGCGUGAUUGACGCUGAGGCACGAAAGUGUGGGGAGCAAACAGGAUUAGAUACCCUGGUAGUCCACACUGUAAACGUUGGUCACUAGAUGUUCGGCCGCAAGGCUGAGUGUCCAAGGGAAACCGAUAAGUGACCCACCUGGGGAGUACGUUCGCAAGAAUGAAACUCAAAGGAAUUGACGGGGGGC